rnacentral:rRNA from 1 species
GAUGAACGCUGACAGAAUGCUUAACACAUGCAAGUCUUUGGCGAAGCUGUGCUUGCACAGCCUGGCCAAGGCGGACGGGUGAGUAACGCGUAAGGAACUUGCCCUGCAGUCAGGGAUAACAGACGGAAACGACUGAUAAGACCUGGUAAAGUCAGGCGGACUCAUGUCCAGCCUGAUGAAAGGAGAUGCUGCAGGAGAGCCUUGCGUCCUAUUAGCUUGUUGGUGGGGUAACGGCCCACCAAGGCGAUGAUAGGUAGCCGGCCUGAGAGGGUGGACGGCCACAAGGGGACUGAGAUACGGCCCUUACUCCUACGGGAGGCAGCAGUGGGGAAUAUUGGACAAUGGGGGCAACCCUGAUCCAGCAAUUCUGUGUGCACGAUGAAGGUUUUCGGAUUGUAAAGUGCUUUCAGCAGGGAAGAAAAAAAUGACGGUACCUGCAGAAGAAGCGACGGCUAAAUACGUG